UCGAACGAGAUCUUUGGGUUCGCCUGGGGAUUUAGUGGCGCACGGGUGAGUAGCGCGUGGGAACCUGCCCUGAUGUGGGGGAUAACCGAGGGAAACUUCGGCUAAUACCGCAUACGCCGGGGGUAACUCCGGGAAAGAUUUAUCGCAGCAGGAGGGGCCCGCGUCGGAUUAGCUAGUUGGUGGGGUAACGGCCUACCAAGGCAGUGAUCCGUAGCUGGUCUGAGAGGAUGAUCAGCCACACUGGGACUGAGACACGGCCCAGACUCCUACGGGAGGCAGCAGUGGGGAAUAUUGGACAAUGGGCGCAAGCCUGAUCCAGCAAUGCCGCGUGAGUGAGGAAGGCCUUAGGGUUGUAAAGCUCUUUCACCCACGACGAUGAUGACGGUAGUGGGAGAAGAAGCCCCGGCUAACUUCGUGCCAGCAGCCGCGGUAAUACGAAGGGGGCGAGCGUUGUUCGGAUUUACUGGGCGUAAAGGGCGCGCAGGCGGCAGACCAAGUCAGGCGUGAAAGCCCCGGGCUCAACCUGGGAACUGCGUUUGGGACUGGUUUGCUAGAGAUCGGGAGAGGAGAGUGGAAUUCCCAGUGUAGAGGUGAAAUUCGUAGAUAUUGGGAAGAACACCGGUGGCGAAGGCGGCUCUCUGGACCGAUACUGACGCUGAGGCGCGGAACGUGGG
rnacentral:rRNA from 1 species